GUAAGUGUUUGUGUCUUUUUCUAAAAAUCAUUUUCAGUCUUUUAGGUAACAAGUUUCAGUUGUCAUGGUUACAGUUUGGUUAACAUCCACCCACAAAAAUGUUUGAACAGAAAAACUGUUUCAAAACUGAGUGAGACUUCAUUUAAAAUGUAAUUUCCUUUCUAGUGGACGUUAAACCUGUAAAUCCUGAACCAUGAAAUCAUUGCUCGAUAAUUCAAAUUUUAUUGGUCCAACGCAUCAAACGUGACUCCAACGUCACUUCCGUACGAGACGUUGCAUCCUGUAAGUGUGGAGUUUGACCGAGCGGCUGAACGACAGAUCGGUUCUAACAGUCAGUGACUUUCAGCUUUAUUUAAACCUUAAAUUUAAUCUUGUGUCGUCAGAUUUAAACUCAGGUUCAGUUAUUGAGUGAAAAUACCAACAGACUCAGACAUUUAGGACAAACUAAGAGUCAGAUGAGCAGAAACAGAGAACACGGACAUGUCUGCUGUAACUGCGUCACUCUGCUCCACUUUGCUGAUGUUCGAUGGAGUCUUCAUGUUUGUCUCUGCAGAUUUUCCACCCUGAUGACCACAGAGGCCUUUGAGGCUUCCAGACGUCCUUCACAACAACACACUGGAUGAACUGGUGAUUUACACAGGCUACUGGUUUUGUAAACUGGUGCAGGCUGCUGCUGGUUCUCAGACCAGGAAAUCAUCACAGCUGAGUCUGGACAGAACGUCACUCUGACAUGUCGAGCUUCAAACAACAUUAUAGCAGUAAACUGGAGCAGAGCUGACCUGGGAAC
ensembl:lncRNA